GUGCACUACUAUAGACCCUCUUCCCUAUAUAGUGCACUACUAUAGACCCUCUUCCCUAUAUAGUGCACUACUAUAGACCCUAUUCCCUAUAUAUGGUACUACUAUAGACCCUCUUCCCUACAUAGUGGCACUACUAUAGACCCUCUUCCCUAUACAGUGGUACUACUAUAGACCCUCUUCCCUAUAUAGUGGUACUACUAUAGACCCUCUUCCCUAUACAGUGCACUACUAUAGACCCUCUUCCCUUUACAGUGCACUACUAUAGACCCUAUUCCCUAUAUAGUGGUACUACUAUAGACCCUAUUCCCUAUACAGUGCACUACUAUAGACCCCU
ensembl:lncRNA